GACGAACCGUGCGAACGUUGUUCGGAUUCACUGGGCUUAAAGGGCGCGUAGGCGGGUUCUCAAGUCCGGGGUGAAAUCCUCUCGCUUAACGAGAGAACUGCCUUGGAUACUGAGGACCUCGAGGGAGGUAGGGGCAUGUGGAACUUCCGGUGGAGCGGUGAAAUGCGUAGAUAUCGGAAGGAACGCCGGUGGCGAAAGCGACGUGCUGGACCUCUUCUGACGCUGAGGCGCGAAAGCCAGGGGAGCAAACGGG
rnacentral:rRNA from 1 species